rnacentral:rRNA from 1 species
UACGGGGGGGGCAAGCGUUGUUCGGAAUUACUGGGCGUAAAGGGCGCGUAGGCGGUUGGAUAAGUCAGCUGUGAAAACCCGGGGCUCAACUCCGGGCUUGCGGGCGAUACGGGCAGGCUAGAGUUCGGUGGGGGAGACUGGAAUUCCUGGUGUAGCGGUGAAAUGCGCAGAUAUCAGGAGGAACACCGGUGGCGAAGGCGGGUCUCUGGGCCGAUACUGACGCUGAGGAGCGAAAGCGUGGGGAGCGAACAGG